CGUUGGCCAAAAAGGGGGCACCUGGGGGGGGCCGAAAUAUGUUUUUUGGAACAACUUCCGAUGAUGGUCUCCACCCUACGAGAGGCCAAAAUUUCUAUCGCUGGCACCUCAUACCAUCCCUUGGUAGCCCGAUAAGCAGUUGACAAAACAGAAAAAAAGCAGAAAGAUGAAUAGAUACUCCACGGAGCCUCCGCCAGCAUCUGAUGACCCUUCUCUUCUAUGGAAGCAAAUCCAUUAAAAUUUCAGGCACACUUCAUAAAAUGAAGGGAAAAAAAAUAUAUAUAUAUAUUUUCACAACAAAACACCGUCUCGGCGUGCCAAGAUUCCAAUUCUGAUCUGGCGCUGAGGAGUCAUAUCCGCAAGAAAGGAAUUAUUGGUCUGUUUGCUUAUUAAAAAUCGUAAAAGGUG